GCAGCUAUGGUCUAGUUGGUUAUGACGCGGCCUUAACACGGCUGAGGUCCUUGGUUCGAUUCCGAGUAGUUGUA
rfam:Thalassiosira oceanica strain CCMP1005 To_g41359, whole genome shotgun sequence.